UCUCAGCAAACAGGCAAAAUAUACAGUCUAGUUUAUGUUUUAGUCAGACUGGUGGUUUCUUAGGCUGAGGUAGUGUGUGAUAUUAUCAUCUCCGUAAGCACAGUAAAGAUUUUGACAUCCAUGGCACUUUAGAAAGUUCUGCAGUGUCUGCCCCAAAAGCAGAAUUGGUAUUCUUGUUGGUCGUGGUAUGACUACUUGCUAACAAAGACACACUAGAAACAUUUUUUUCCAGCAGUGUGUAAAUAUUCUGACAUUUACUUUAGGGUGCACAUUAUGCUACACUGAACAAUGAGGCAUGGUGGAACAACAUUUUUCACUCAUCUUGGCUUGAAAUAUCAUAGCACUCUUGGAUGAGAGAGCAACAGUGAGGGGGAAAUCAACCUCGAGAUUAUAAGCAGGUAGUUUUGCAGACUUUACAGCAUCACAACACAGCUGAAGGAGAAAGAGGGAAUGGGAGCUGUAAGGUGACAGUGAGUAAUAUGAGCUCCCCGAUUAUGUGUAAAGUGCAAUAGGUGUGAACGAGAGCCACCUGCACCUUGAUGCCAAGGCAGCAUGGCCACUCCUGCUCUCCCUCCUCCAUAUGCUUCAGCUGGGCUGGCAUGUACACCACAAGGCCACCUCUGCCUGGCGCACUGCUGUCAGCCUGCACCUCUGUCUCCAGAGAGCUCACACUACAUGCUGACAGGAGGGCGGUUAUGCACGCCAACGUGCUCCCCAAUCAAUUAGGCAAGGUGUGCGAAACUGGAGCUAAUUAAAAGACAGCCAACACAGGUUGAGAGGGUUUUGUGGUUCCUCUAAGACAAAUAAAGAGACUACAUAGCGUUGUUGUUAUUCUUUUAAGAAAACCGGACAGCUCCUUUCCUUACUUAACCCCACAACAAUCAUACCUGUUAGUUAUGAUAAAGAAAAUAAACUCUGUCACACAUGUUUGGAUGUAAGUUAGGGCUGUCAAUAGAUUUUAGCAUCUGCCGUCCACCGUUAGCCAGCUAAUAUCAACCACACUGACAUGCGCCGUUCUGUGAAAGAAGAUCCGGAUUAUCACACUGUUAUUUAAAACUCAACAACAGACCUCACAAUUAAAUGGCAUACUAAACACCACUCGUGGAUUUGCCAACAAAGAGGUAGCGUUAACCGUGGAAGGCCACGGGCAUAGCUGAGUAUAGCUACUACUAGCAGGCUAGCAAAGGUCCAAAACCAAUGCUUGCCAAGACAAAGGAGUGAUGGCACUUGGACCCUGAGGGAGGCUGCCUUUCGUCGCUGCUCUGCCCAGCUGCUGAGCAACGUUACUGCACAGAGAGAGAGACAUGCACAUAGCCACAUGCAGACAUGGUGAAGGAAGAUUGAUACAGCAUGAUGGAUAUUGAAGAUAAUUUAGGAGAGAGAGAGAGAAGUAGGAGAAUGGCAGGGCAGCUGAUUCUGAGCGAUUGAAGUCUAGGCGCUGGUCAUCGACCCAGAACCAGAACUCCAGGGUGCAGGUGUAGUGAAGGCCCAGCCACACAAAGGGAGUGUUGGCCUUCUUGGCCUCCAGCUCAGCCCAGGCC